rnacentral:rRNA from 1 species
CCAAUAGCGUAUAUUAAAGUUGUUGCAGUUAAAAAGCUCGUAGUUGAAUUUCGGGAUCAAUAUGUCUGUCGUGCCUUCGGUACGUACGGGUAUAAUUGGUUUCUACCUUCUGAUGAACCUUGAUGCCAUUAAUUUGGUGUCUUGGGGACUCAGGACUGUUACCUUGAAAAAAUUAGAGUGUUUAAAGCAGGCAUACGCUUGAAUACAUUAGCAUGGAAUAAUGAAAUAGGACGUUCGAUUCUAUUCUGUUGGUUUCUAGGAUCGACGUAAUGAUUAAUAGGGAUAGUUGGGGGCAUUAGUAUUCAAUUGUCAGAGGUGAAAUUCUUGGAUUUAUUGAAGACUAACUACGGCGAAAGCAUUUGCCAAGGAUGUUUUCAUUAAUCAAGAACGAAAGUUAGGGGAUCGAAGACGAUCAGAUACCGUCGUAGUCUUAACCAUAAACUAUGCCGACUAGGGAUCGGAUGAUGUUAAUUUUUUAAUGACUCAUUCGGCGCCUUACG